UGGGGAAUAUUGGGCAAUGGGCGCAAGCCUGACCCAGCAACGCCGCGUGAAGGAAGAAGGCUUUCGGGUUGUAAACUUCUUUUAACAGGGACGAAUGAAGUGACGGUACCUGUUGAAUAAGCCACGGCUAACUACGUGCCAGCAGCCGCGGUAAUACGUAGGUGGCAAGCGUUAUCCGGAUUUACUGGGUGUAAAGGGCGUGUAGGCGGGACUGCAAGUCAGGUGUGAAAACCACGGGCUCAACCUGUGGCCUGCAUUUGAAACUGUAGUUCUUGAGUGCUGGAGAGGCAAUCGGAAUUCCGUGUGUAGCGGUGAAAUGCGUAGAUAUACGGAGGAACACCAGUGGCGAAGGCGGAUUGCUGGACAGUAACUGACGCUGAGGCGCGAAAGCGUGGGGAGCAAACA
rnacentral:rRNA from 1 species